UGAAAAUUUGAUAAUUCAUUCUGUUUUUUACAGUUCCUGGUUCUGAUAAAUGCUGUAAUUUUAUCAUUUUUGUAAUAAUAAUACGUCUUGUUUGGGUUUUGGGAUUCAGACGGUUAACCUACAUAAUCAUAUAUCCAACAGAAUUUACACUAACAUAUCAGAUUCGAUAAUAAAGACACCGAUUAUGACAUAUUGAUGCAUUUCUCCAUCCUCACCUCCAGGAUGGGGGACGCUCGGUGCUCCUGCAGCCCAGAAUCGUGCACGUCGGCUGGGAAGGAGAUGCUGGGCUCCUGGGAGCUGGACGGAGCGAAGGAUGGACUGUAGCCUGGGAGAUACAAAGAGACACGUCAGAAACAGAUGGUCUGGUCGGUUCCAUAGAAGCCAGAAGCUUCCUGGGAGGCGUCGGCCGCUCCAGUCCCACCGAGGAGCUCCGUCUCUGGGUCAGCGGAGUCUGGCUGCCCCCUGAAGCCUCCUUCAUCCAGGGGAACCGCCAGAUGAACCUUCCGCUGGAAGAGGAGAGAAAUG
ensembl:lncRNA